AUUGAACGCUGGCGGCAUGCCUUACACAUGCAAGUCGAACGGCAGCACGGGAGCAAUCCUGGUGGCGAGUGGUGAACGGGUGAGUAAAGUAUCGGAACGUGCCCAGUCGUGGGGGAUAACGUAGCGAAAGUUACGCUAAUACCGCAUACGAUCUAUGGAUGAAAGCGGGGGAUCGCAAGACCUCGCGCGAUUGGAGCGGCCGAUAUCAGAUUAGGUAGUUGGUGGGGUAAAGGCUCACCAAGCCGACGAUCUGUAGCUGGUCUGAGAGGACGACCAGCCGCACUGGGACUGAGCCACGGCCCAGACUCCUACGGGAGGCAGCAGUGGGGAAUUUUGGACAAUGGGCGCAAGCCUGAUCCAGCCAUGCCGCGUGCAGGAUGAAGGCCUUCGGGUUGUAAACUGCUUUUGUACGGAACGAAAAGGUUUGACUUAAUACGUUGGACUCAUGACGGUACCGUAAGAAUAAGCACCGGCUAACUACGUGCCAGCAGCCGCCGUAA
rnacentral:rRNA from 1 species